CGGUUAAGUCCGCUAACGAGCGCAACCCUCGCUGUGUGUUACAAGUGUCACACGGAACUGCCGGUCAUAAACCGGAGGAAGGUGGGAUGACGUCAAGUCAGCAUGGCCUUUAUAUCCUGGGCUACACACACGCUACAAUGGGAAGGGACAAUAGGUUGCGAAGCCGCGAGGCGGAGCCAAUCCAGCAAAACUUCCCUCAGUUCAGAUUGCAGGCUGCAACUCGCCUGCAUGAAGUUGGAGUUGCUAGUAAACGCAGGUCAGCCAUACUGCGUUGAAUACGUUCCCGGGGCUU
rnacentral:rRNA from 1 species